rnacentral:rRNA from 1 species
UUCCGGUUGAUCCUGCGGGACCUGACUGCUAUCGGAUUGAUACUAAGCAUGCCGAGUCAUUGUAGCAAUACAAGGCAGACGGCUCAGUAACGCGUAGUCAACCUACCCUAUGGACGGGGAUAACCUCGGGAAACUGAGAAUAAUACCCGAUAGAACACUAUACCUGGAGUGGUUUGUGUUCCAAAUAAUUUAUUGCCGUAGGAUGGGACUGCGGCCUAUCAGUUUGUUGGUGAGGUAAUGGCCCACCAAGACUAUUACAGGUACGGGCUCUGAGAGGAGUGGCCCGGAGAUGGGUACUGAGACACGGACCCAGGCCCUAUGGGGCGCAGCAGGCGAGAAAACUUUGCAAUGUGCGAAAGCACGACAAGGUUAAUCCGAGUGGUUUCUGCUAAAGGAACCUUUUGACAGUCCUAGAAACACUGUUGAAUAAGGGGUGGGCAAGUUCUGGUGUCAGCCGCCGCGGUAAAACCAGCACCUCAAGUGGUCAGGAUGAUUAUUGGGCCUAAAGCAUCCGUAGCCGGCUCUGUAAGUUUUCGGUUAAAUCUGUACGCUCAACGUACAGGCUGCUGGGAAUACUGCAGAGCUAGGGAGUGGGAGAGGUAGACGGUACUCGGGAGGAAGUGGUAAAAUGCUUUGAUCUCUCGAUGACCACCUGUGGCGAAGGCGGUCUACCAGAACACGUCCGACGGUGAGGGAUGAAAGCUGGGGGAGCAAACCGGAUUAGAUACCCGGGUAGUCCCAGCUGUAAACUAUGCAAACUCAGUGAUGCACUGGCUUGUGGCCAGUGCAGUGUUGCAGGGAAGCCGUUAAGUUGCCGCCUGGGAAGUACGUACGCAAGUAUUGAACUAAAGGAAUUGGCGGGGAGCAC